rnacentral:tRNA from 1 species
AGUUGAUGAGCUUGUAAAGCAUUUACCUUGAAAGUUUAAGAAAAGAAUAAAACCUUAUCAACUU